UGUGGGGGGGUAUUCAAGAAGGAAAGUAGGGGGAUAAAGACGAUCAGAUACCGUUGUAGUCUCUACCGUAAACUAUGCCGACCAGGGAUCCGGAGAGUUUGCAUGGAUGACUCCCCGGGCACCUUGUGAGUUUUCAUAAGUGUUUGGGUUUUGGGGGGAGUAUGGUCGCAAGGCUGAAACUAAAGGAAUUGACGAAGGCACCUCCCSAAUGA
rnacentral:rRNA from 1 species